rnacentral:rRNA from 1 species
GGAUCAUUACUGAAUUGUCAACAUGAAGUUGUUGCUGGCCCUCAGAUGGGGGUAUGUGCACGCUCUGUUUACACAUCCACUCACACCUGUGCACCCUCUGUAGUUCUAUGGUCUGGGGGCUCUGUCCUCCUGCUGUGGUUCUGCGUAUUUAUACAUACACACUGUAAUAAAGUCUCAUGGAAUGUAUGCCGCGUUUAACGCAAUGUAAUACAACUUUCAGCAACGGAUCUCUUGGCUCUCGCAUCGAUGAAGAACGCAGCGAAAUGCGAUAAGUAAUGUGAAUUGCAGAAUUCAGUGAAUCAUCGAAUCUUUGAACGCACCUUGCGCCCUUUGGCUAUUCCGAAGGGCAUGCCUGUUUGAGUAUCAUGAACACCUCAACUCCUCAUGGCUUGCCAUGAUGAGCUUGGACUUGGGGGUCUUGCUGGCCUGUGGUCAGCUCCUCUCAAAUGAAUCAGCUUGCCAGUGAUUGGUGGCACCACAGGUGUGAUAAACAUCUACGCUUGUGGUUCCCCACCAUGUAACCUUUAGCGAUAGAGGUUCGCUGGAGCUCACAAAUGUCUUUCCUCAGUGAAGACAGCUCUUUGAUUGUUUGAUCUCAAAUCAGGUAGGACUACCCGCUGAACUUAA